rnacentral:rRNA from 1 species
CGGUUAUACGGAGGGUGCGAGCGUUAAUCGGAAUUACUGGGCGUAAAGCGCAUGCAGGUGGUUUGUUAAGUCAGAUGUGAAAGCCCGGGGCUCAACCUCGGAAUAGCAUUUGAAACUGGCAGACUAGAGUACUGUAGAGGGGGGUAGAAUUUCAGGUGUAGCGGUGAAAUGCGUAGAGAUCUGAAGGAAUACCGGUGGCGAAGGCGGCCCCCUGGACAGAUACUGACACUCAGAUGCGAAAGCGUGGGGAGCAAACAGGAUUAGAUACCCUGGUAGUCCACGCCGUAAACGAUGUCUACUUGGAGGUUGUGGCCUUGAGCCGUGGCUUUCGGAGCUAACGCGUUAAGUAGACCGCCUGGGGAGUACGGUCGCAAGAUUAAAACUCAAAUGAAUUGACGGGGGCCCGCACAAGCGGUGGAGCAUGUGGUUUAAUUCGAUGCAACGCGAAGAACCUUACCUACUCUUCACAUCCAGAGAACUUUCCAGAGAUGGAUUGGUGCCUUCGGGAACUCUGAGACAGGUGCUGCAUGGCUGUCGUCAGCUCGUGUUGUGAAAUGUUGGGUUAAGUCCCGCAACGAGCGCAACCCUUAUCCUUGUUUGCCAGCGAGUAAUGUCGGGAACUCCAGGGAGACUGCCGGUGAUAAACCGGAGGAAGGUGGGGACGACGUCAAGUCAUCAUGGCCCUUACGAGUAGGGCUACACACGUGCUACAAUGGCGCAUACAGAGGGCGGCCAACUUGCGAAAGUGAGCGAAUCCCAAAAAGUGCGUCGUAGUCCGGAUUGGAGUCUGCAACUCGACUCCAUGAAGUCGGAAUCGCUAGUAAUCGUGGAUCAGAAUGCCACGGUGAAUACGUUCCCGGGCCUUGUACACACCGCCCGUCACACCAUGGGAGUGGGCUGCAAAAGAAGUAGGUAGUUUAACCUUCGGGGGGACGCUUACCAGUUGGUUAAUUGCUU